CCUCAUCAUCCUAUCCAAGAAGAUCACAGCCGUCAAAACCAAAUAAACAAGAUCCUGACACGCAUUAGCCUCUGCACGGUUGCGCUCGCCCUCUUGUCACGAGAAAAACACAUGAUACCGAGGCACCUGUCCAUUCAUUUAUGUUCCCAACCUCAAAUCUCUUCAAAUUUCCACAACCCCACUUGCCCUUGUCAGAUCUUCUUCUUCUUCGAAACCCAUCUAGUAUUUUCUUCUUCUUGGUUUUCAUCUAGUUUAGUGUUUGCAGAGAAAAAUGGCAGAUUGGGGUCCUGUGGUGAUCGCAGUGGUGCUGUUUGUGGUAUUGACACCGGGGCUUUUGUUUCAGAUACCCGGAAAGGGGAGGGUGGUGGAGUUUGGGAACAUGCAGACCAGUGGCGCUUCUAUUGUGGUUCAUGCCGUCAUCUACUUUGGCCUCAUCACCAUCUUCCUCAUUGCCAUCGGUGUUCACAUCUAUGCUGGCUGAUUAAUUAUAUUGUAUUUCAGUUGGGUUUAGAGUUUGCUUUCACCUGACAUUUAAUUUCUUAUCUUGUUUAAUUACUUUGUGUAUUAUAAAUCUAUUGCAAAAUUUGGUAUUGCUUUUAAUUUAAAUCAUGAAGCUUUGUAGAAUUUCCUUUGGUUUAAACCUAGCAGGAGCAGCAGUAUUGGGAUUUUGAUGCUAGUUUUAAUGGUUUAGCAGCUCCUGAAUUUUAAUGGAUUCCUAAUUAGGUGUUUACUAGGGGGGGAUUACCCACAUCUAAUGAAAUGGAUGCCUCAAUCAAUUCAAUGAAAUGGAUGGCUAUGAAGUUCACCUAUUGUCAUAAUUUGGCAUAAUUCCCUCUUUGAUGUGGAAAUUAUUGCCUACAUUCUAUGAAUUUAGGUCGUGCCUUUGGGCUUUUUGAUGGGC
rnacentral:lncRNA from 1 species